rnacentral:rRNA from 1 species
GACGAACGCUGGCGGCGUGCCUAAUACAUGCAAGUUGAGCGAUGAAGAUUGGUGCUUGCACCAAUUUGAAGAGCAGCGAACGGGUGAGUAACGCGUGGGGAAUCUGCCUUUGAGCGGGGGACAACAUUUGGAAACGAAUGCUAAUACCGCAUAAUAACUUUAAACAUAAGUUUUAAGUUUGAAAGAUGCAAUUGCAUCACUCAAAGAUGAUCCCGCGUUGUAUUAGCUAGUUGGUGAGGUAAAGGCUCACCAAGGCGAUGAUACAUAGCCGACCUGAGAGGGUGAUCGGCCACAUUGGGACUGAGACACGGCCCAAACUCCUACGGGAGGCAGCAGUAGGGAAUCUUCGGCAAUGGACGAAAGUCUGACCGAGCGACGCCGCGUGAGUGAAGAAGGUUUUCGGAUCGUAAAACUCUGUUGGUAGAGAAGAACGUUGGUGAGAGUGGAAAGCUCAUCAAGUGACGGUAACUACCCAGAAAGGGACGGCUAACUACGUG